rnacentral:rRNA from 1 species
AUGGAUGCUGACCAAAGCUUCUUGGACACCCUUGGUUUUGGUUACACACAAACACAACCAGAAAGUCCAAUUGGAGAGCAGGCAACUCCAUCAACUCAGCAUCAAGCAACACCAUCAACGCAGCAACGUUCUGCAAUAAUAGAGAAAGGAAAAUCCAACAAAGGAAAAAAUUGGUCUAGUGAUGAGGACAAGGUUCUCAUAGCAGCAUGGGCAAAUACAAGUUUGGAUAUUGUUGGGACUGAUCAAAACCGAGAUGCUUAUUGGGCUAGAAUUUCAGAGUACUACAACACACACAAGGAGUCGUCAUGGCCGGAGCGUAAUCCUAAUGCAAUCAAUUGCCGUUACACAUUGAUUAACAGAGAGACCUCCAAAUUUUGUGGUUGCCUUCAGCAGAUUUUAAAUAAGGAAGAAAGUGGAAGGACUAUAGCAGAAAAGACAAACGAUGCACACAUUCUGUUCAAGGAAAUGGAUGUUAAGAAACGGCCUUUCACAUUGAUGCAUUGCUAUAUAGAGUUUGCAAAGUAUCCAAAAUGGCAGACAAGAGAACUUGAAACUUCUCUUAAGAAACAAAAGAAGACCAUUGAUGGAAGUCCAGGCACAACCACCAAUGAUCCGUCCGAUGCAUCCUCGGUACGCACUGAUGCAACCUCGAUACACACUGAUGCUCUUGAACAUGAGAAAAGACCUGAUGGUGUUAAGAAGGACAAGAGAGGUAAAGCUGAUGAGAAUGCUUGCAAGCUGUCAUUAGAAACUGUGUGGGCAGCAAAGCAAGAGAAGGAUGAGAUCAAAGAAGCGGCAAGAAAUGCUCGCUAUGCAUAGCAAUUUGAAUUGCGAAAAGAGGAGAUUGCACUCAGAAAGAAGGAGGAUGCACGAAACGAGAGGGAGGAUGCACGGAGACCGUUUGAAUUAGAUGAGAGGGUCAUGCUGAUCGACACUAGUGGUAUGACUGAUGUGCAAAAGCAGUUCUACCAAGCUAAGCAGAAUGAGAUCCUUGCUCGAGGCCUAGAGUAA